CCUAUAAAAGUACACAUUGUGCGAUUCUCGAUUCUCGUCUGAUCACCGAAGUUAAGCAGUUUCGAGCCCGGUCAGUACUUGGGAGGGUGACCACCUGGGAACACCGGGUGCUGUAGGCU